rnacentral:snoRNA from 1 species
NNNCCCAACAGGAAUCUAGGGUCACUGACAAGGGGUACAAAACGUGUGACCUCCCUGUAAGCAAAUGUCCUACACAU